UAGAGAUUUUAAUUUAUUUAUUUCACAUACUGAUCUGUGAUUACUUCAGCUGUCUUUCUACUAGCACACAAUUCAACAUGUAUUACAGUAUUAUUUAUUGAAUGCUCAUUUCAUUUAUUUUUUAUUUUUUAAUCAAAACACCUGAUACUUUCACAAAUGUAAACAAACACUCUUUUCACUGGGGAAGUUUUUGUCAUUGUUUGUCCUCCUUGAGCAUGUACACCUCAGUAAAAAUGUUUUAUCAAAGCAAACCUGUGUCUUUUUUUCACAUUUACACUUCCACUCAUUCCAUUCGUACACAUUACCAAAGCCAUAGAUUUUCACCAAGGAUGAUUUGGAAAAUGAGGAAAAUAUUUUUAUACUUAAUAAUAAGUUAUGCGGUAAUUGGCAGAAUCCUCAAAGGCAGUCAAGGGUGAAAAGAGAUUCUCUUUGGCCUGAUUCAUUGGCCUUAAUGCCAGGAGCACCAGGUGGACGAAAUCGUUUUAAGGAAACACGUGAAUAUUUCUCACCUGGAGCACAAGGUUACCACAGCAGGGAUAUAAAACAAGAAAAUCCUGAACCUAGAACAGAUUCUAGAAGAACGAGGCAAGAAACAAGAGAAAAUGGGAGAUCCAGUGAUACAGAAAAGGACAUUUAUGCACUGAUGAGGGGGAGAGGAGAUGAAGAACUGGUGGGAGAGUUAGACUUAGAACAAAACAAAGAAGAAGAAGUACUGGACGAGUAUACAGAAAUGGAUUUGGAUUCAGUUUAUGAAGAAGAAGAAAGGAGUGGAGACUUUGACCUGGAGACGGAGGAAGACGUAGACCGGGAGAGGGAGGAAGAAGAGAUAAAGAGGAUGAGAGAAGAGCUGGAGAAAGAGAGGGAGGAGGACAUGGUGAGACAGAGGGAGGAAUGGGAGAGGAGGAGGGAGGAGAUGGAGCGGAGCCGAGGGGGCAGCUAUGAUGAAGAAGCUGGACAACCCUACCCGUAUUCUCCAGAAUACUUUUUAUUAAAGGUGCAAGCAAAAAAGCACAUAUCCUUAUAAUACUGUACAAAAGGGAUUGUCUUUUAACCUUUUUGUUACAUUGUUUUGUGAGACAGGGACAGCCUGGAGAC
ensembl:lncRNA